rnacentral:sRNA from 1 species
AAUGCAGAUUCUGAUUUUGCAAGUCUGAGAUGGGCUCAACAUUAUGCAUCUCCAAAAAGCUUCCAGCCAGCACAGUGGCCCACGCCUGUAAUCCCAGCAUUUUGGGAGGCUGAGGCUGGUGAACAUUGUCACCAUAAAGAAGUGAUAAAUGUUGAAAGUGAUGGAUAUGGUAAUUACCCCAGUUUCAUCAUUAUACUAUGUAUACAUGCAUUGAAACAUCACAUUGUACCCCAUAAAUAUGUACAAUUAUUAUGUGUCAAUUAUAAAUAAAAUUUUUUUAAAAAGAAUUGGCCCUUGGGUUUUCUCCAUUACAGAUUUAUUGCCAAACCCUGCGCACUCCAUAUUGGCAUCGAGGACAGUGGUCCUUAUCAGGCCCAACCCAAUGCCAUCCUUGAAAAGGUGUUCAUAUCUAUUACCAAGUAUCCUGAGAAGAAAAGGCUGGAGGGCCUGUCAAAGCAGCUGGAUUGGAAUGUCCGAAAAAUCCAAUGUUGGUUUCGCCAUCGGAGGAAUCAGGACAAGCCCCCAACGCUUACUAAAUUCUGUGAAAGCAUGU